CAGUUGUAAACCUCUAAGAAAAUAAGAAGAAAUGAAGAAAAAACUGAUUUAUUGCCAACAUGUCCUUAAUUAUACAGCGAAUGUAGCAAGUGUUACAGUCAAUUGUACUUUAUGUAUGUUUAUAUGUGAAAUGUAUACUCAUGACAAGCAAAAUAACAGUUCAAGUAUUCAGCAGGGUUAUUUCAAAGAGAACAGACCUGAUCUUACAUUUCAUGCACAACAAAAAUUCCCAUUGUAGUCAACAGUUUUGGUUCAUGGUUAAGCCCCAAGAAUUUAGUAGGUUUUUCUUUUGAAAAUUUGAUACAAAAUCAAUUUACAAUUUGAUAUUUUUGAUCACACUUGUUUGAAUUUCCAGACGUUUUAAAUAUGGAACAUGUCCCUUAGCAGUUGCUCACCUCACCACUCUUUCAUGCAUUUUUAUCUUCUGCCUGCCAAGGAGGAAUAUAUACAGACGACUUGCUCAUGAAAGCUUAUGCAGAAACCCUCGACAACUUUAAUUUCAGUCAGGUGACAUCUAAUGAUUGUUUUUGUCAUGUAUCACUUCUUUCACACCCACAAAGACUAAUGACUACCUACAGUAACUGCUAUUAAAAGGUCAGCAUUCCUCAGCAGUUAUCACAUCAUGGUAUCUAAGAUAUCUGUUUUUCCAUAUGCUUAAGAAAUAACUGCAGUGGCUGUUUGCAUAUCUUGUCCACUUUUAAUAUUCACUAGUUUAAAAGCAAAGACUUGUGCCUUUUAAAGUAGCUGUGGCUCAGGCACAAGACCACACUCUUCCCCUCAGACUUCUCUGCCUCCUUCCUUCUGGAAGCAGUCUUUAGCUAAUUCCCUCUCUGAUCCUGUUCUCCUUCUAGCCCCAGGAAGAGGAGGAGGAAUAACAGACAGAAGCCAAGGCCAAAAAAAAAAAAGAGAGAGAGUGUUCCUGAAAGAGGAGCCAGCUUGAGGUUUCAUAACCUUGAAAGAGACCCUCUAAAACCAUUUUGUUAUUUAUUCGCUUUAUUUUAGCGCCUAGAGUCCCCAACCAAAUCAGGGCCUGUAAUGGGGUCUACAAACCCCAGAUUGGGCACACAGAGGAGGGAGGAGAAUCUUUCCUGUUAAUAAACAAGCAGCUUGAUCACA
rnacentral:lncRNA from 1 species